rnacentral:rRNA from 1 species
UACGUAGGGGGCAAGCGUUAUCCGGAUUUAUUGGGCUUAAAGGGUGCGCAGGCGGAAUGUCAAGUCAGCGGUAAAAUUUCGGGGCUCAACCCCGUCGUGCCGUUGAAACUGGCGUUCUUGAGUGAGCGAGAAGUAUGCGGAAUGCGUGGUGUAGCGGUGAAAUGCAUAGAUAUCACGCAGAACCCCGAUUGCGAAGGCAGCAUACCGGCGCCCGACUGACGCUGAGGCGCGAAAGUGCGGGUAUCGAACAGG